AAGACAGCAAGAACCAAAGUGAGGUUAUAGAUUUGUUGGUCAUUUUUGUUUACACUUCACUAUAACACAGGCUAUACCAUUUCAACAAAAAGAUGAACUCUGACGAGCAAUUCGUGGUUUGUGACAGUUGCGGAAUUACAAACGGGUGUGAGCAUUAUAAUAUGUUGGCGGAAAUGGAUAAUUCGAUAGCCGAGCCCUUUCCCAUUUCCCAAGAAAAUGUACAAACUGACUUCACAGAGGAGACAAUUUCGGAGAUUUAAUCUCAUUUGUAUCCUUACGUCCAGCCCUUUGGGACCAUAGACUGCUAUUAAUUCAAUGAACAAAAACAAUUCGAAAAACAAAAAAGGAUCA